CGGGCCUGUGGCUAGCCGAGCGGGUGUCCCUUCCAGCCGCGCCUUUUGGCCCCGGAAAGAGGAGCCGGGGAAGAGAAGAGAGGAAAUGGCGCCAGGUACGUGGCCGACGAUCUUCCAGGAGAACUGGCUGCCCAGAGGCUUCCGGGUUCAAGGCGGAGCGCUCCUUACGGACUCAGCCAAGAGCCUCCUGUCUCACCUGCCCACCUCAUGCCAGCUGCUGGUCCAUCAAAAGAUCUGCUCGGGAAUCCAUCUUUGAAGGCUUUUCAGCAGCUUUGCACCAAUACCCUGAGGCGGACAUUACACACACACCCCCCCCAAGCACCAUGCACAAAAUCAGACACUAGAGUGCAAAAUACACCUUUUUCUUCUGGGACUACAGUCUUUCUUUCUUUCUUUCUUUCUUUCUUUCUUUCUUUCUUUCUUUCUUUCUUUCUUUCUUUCUUUCUUUCUUUCUCUGCCAUUCUAUUCUUUGGCUGUUUCAAUUUGGAACAUUUUCCCCUAAUUUUUUUACUGUAGGCUAUUUCAAGAAUUUCAAGGCAGCUAAUAAAGGACUUUUUAUAACAGUA